rnacentral:rRNA from 1 species
ACUCCUACGGGAGGCAGCAGUGGGGAAUAUUGCACAAUGGGCGCAAGCCUGAUGCAGCCAUGCCGCGUGUGUGAAGAAGGCCUUCGGGUUGUAAAGCACUUUCAGUCGUGAGGAAGGUAGUGUAGUUAAUAGCUGCAUUAUUUGACGUUAGCGACAGAAGAAGCACCGGCUAACUCCGUGCCAGCAGCCGCGGUAAUACGGAGGGUGCGAGCGUUAUCCGGAUUUAUUGGGUUUAAAGGGUCCGUAGCGGAUUAAUAAGUCAGUGGUGAAAUCCCAUCGCUUAACGAUGGAACUGCCAUUGAUACUGUUAGUCUUGAAUGAGGGUGCAGUGGUUGGAAUGUGUAGUGUAGCGUGAAAUGCAUAGAUAUUACACAGAACACCGAUUGCGAAGGCAGAUCACUAACCCUAAAUU